rnacentral:rRNA from 1 species
GUAGGUGGCAAGCGUUGUCCGGGAAUUAUUGGGGCGUAAAGCGCGCGCAGGCGGUUCUUAAAGUCUGAUGUGAAAGCCCACGGGCUCAACCGUGGAGGGUCAUUGGAAACUGGAGAACUUGAGUACAGAAGAGGAAAGCGGAAUUCCACGUGUAGCGGUGAAAUGCGUAGAGAUGUGGAGGAACACCAGUGGCGAAGGCGGCUUUCUGGUCUGUAACUGACGCUGAGGCGCGAAAGCGUGGGGAGCAAACAGGAUUAGAUACCCUGGUAGUCCACGCCGUAAACGAUGAGUGCUAAGUGUUAGGGGGUUUCCGCCCCUUAGUGCUGCAGCUAACGCACUAAGCACUCCGCCUGGGGAGUACGGCCGCAAAGGCUG